rnacentral:ncRNA from 1 species
UAGCUGUUGAUCUUGUCAGUAGUGUCAAGUCGUUUUCUCAGAGAUUAGGCUGUGUAAGUCGAAGUGCUUACCUUGAGACGUUAAAAUUGUGAAUGGCUCCUUAAAUCAACUCUAGUUACCUUGGUCAGGCAUAAUACGCGGAUAACUGUAGCAAUUCUGUGCUUAAUACAUGCA